GGUUUGCCCGAUUCUAGGGCGGCGGGCGUUUCCUGCCACCAGCCGGAAAGGGGCGGCAGGACCGUGGGAAGUCGGGCUCUAAAGUUGCCGUGGGGUUUGAGUCUUCUCCGGGGCGCCUCCCUGUUGUGCUGUAAGCUGCCAAUAAGACAAACAGCAAUUUCCCCUCCAAAGAGGAUGUUUCCUUACCUGUCCGGGCGCGGGAGGGCAGGGGUAGGGCGCAUGCGCGCUGGACCCUGAGCCUGCGCCCCGCGGGGUGGGUGAGCGGCUGCUCAGGGGUCCUUUGUGACGUCCUCGGGCUGAGCUCUAGGCCCGAGAGCUGCUACGGAGCGGGAACGGGACCCCGCGCACCUGGAGGGGCGAGGGAAGGAGUUGCCCGGAGUCCGCUCCGCACUGCUGUGUUCGGGGUGCAGCCCGGCCUUGUGGGGGUCAAGGAAGGCACACUUGUGGGUGCUUCCGGCUGGGCCCUGGAGGCGUGACGUGAGGUCCUGCAGGCCCCCUCCUCCCUGGAAUGGUCCACCUGCUCUGAUCCGCCUGGCGAGAAGCUUUGCACCUCCACACCUUCCGCCUGCUGUUGCUGCCUCCGGCCCAGCCAGCUGGGGCCUAAACCCUGCACCAGUUAAAACUCUCCCCCUCUAACCCUCGAGCAGCAGGCGGUUUGUUCCAGCAAAGGGGAGAAGAUAAACACAAGAGGUCAUGGAGCUCACACUUAGCCACCAGGAUCUGCCCUGGGCGCUCUGCCUUAGCGAAGCCUGAUCACGCCCUGAAGGCCUCACCUCUGCAUGGCGUAGUUGUUCAGUUUCCACGCUAUGAGGAUUUAAUGUAAACCCAUGAAACCUGGUGGGCCCAACACCGUAUCCAAACCAUCACACCCCUCUCUUCACUUAGCCGGGAGGACCCGCAAGUACCCAGAAACUAAGUGGCCACCCCAGGCCCCACAGAAACCAGUGCCCCAGCUCUUCCCUUUCCUAGGACGCAAGUCUACAUUAACCUUCCCACCCCUAAAGAACAGCAGGUCCAACAGUGGCGUUUCAAGCUUUACAUCAGCCCAGGGACAGAGAUGUGGUGGCCUACACCUCACUGCCUGCACCACACACCCCGUACAGGAGGCUUGCCUGCGGGCUUGCUGUGACAACAGUAUGGAGACAUAACUGGGGACAGACAGGAUGAGCUCAGCGGAGCUGCAGCGUUGGGGUGAAAACUCGUCUGGCCCUGUACUCACCGUGGAGAAACGAGUUUCUGCCAGGGAAGACAAGGGAGAUGUUACUUAGUGGUUUUGAUGUCUCAAAAGCCAGGUUCGUGUGGAGACUGGAGAAGGAAAGAUAAAGAUUCCCAAACAGGUUUGAGGGCUCCAGAGGAGGGAGGUCCCACUGUCAGCCUGGAGUUCUCAGAGAAGGAAAGGCCCCUGCUUUGGUUUGGCUCUGAAAUGUCCCCAAAAGUUUCAUAUUUGGAGGGUGACUGAAUGGUGGGGAUCCAUCCACUGCUGAGUUCAUGACUGAAUGUGCUGCACAGAGCUGGUUCGCUGGGCAUGUGACCUGGGAGGAUACAUUCUUUCCUGGACUCUCAUUUCCCUCUGUUUCCUAGAUGUCCUGAGCUGAGCACCUUUUCUCUACCAUGCCCUUGUACCAUGCCAUUUCUGCCUUAGAGUCACCCAGCCAUGGAUUACAACCAUGAAUGAAAAUAAAACUCUCCA